AGAAAAGGGAGAAGCGCAGAAAAACUGUGCGGAGGAAAGAGAAUAACAGGGGGAUAGGUGCAGCCAAGAAUAGAAGAGAAGCAGAGAGACUGACACGGCAGAGAAGCAGAGAGACUGACACGGCAGAGAAGCAGAGAGACUGACGACAGAGGCGCAGAAAAUAAGGAAGGAGCAGCGCAGAAAGGAGGAAGGCGCGGAAGGACAGAGAGGAUAUAGACUCGAACAGAGAGAAGGCGCGGACAGACAGAAGCAGCAAGCUGCCUUCUCUCUCGGUUAAAUCUUUCCAAACUUAUAUUUUAUUUUUGUUUUAAUAAUGUGUAACUAAAUUUAUUCUAGCUAGAGGUUAAUUCAAAGCCAUGAAUAUAUUUGUAAUAUGAAUUGAUUACCUUCAGUUGUGAUUUAAUUUGCUUAACUGCUUGAUUGAUAGCUUAUUUUUGUAUGUCGAUUAAGAAUGCAUACUUAAUUUACAUGCAUGAAUUUGACGCUAGAAUAUAAGGGAGUUUCACCUAAUCGUUAUGAACUUAUAUUCACAAGUAGUGAAGGUUGCUAGUCACAAUCACGUUAAGUAAAUUCUUGGCAUAAGUUUCAUGCAAAUCAUAGUAACGAGUGCCUCGUCAAUGCUUAUGUUUUUCAUAGAACUUAAUGAUUCUUGCUUGUAUCUCUAUUAUGCAAUUCAUGUAGGGAACUUGUAGGGAAUGUUUUGGGGUUGUCGUAUGCAAUCAUCCAACCCAAUAACUUGUGGAAAAACUGAGGGUUAAUUAGUGCAAUUCACGGUUAAUUUGGGGCUUUGAGAUUUACAAUUUUAUUGAAAGAACAACUGAAAAUCAAUUUAGGUUGCAUAUGUGUCAUGUGUGGAGAAGAACCCUCUAGCUAGUCCGUCACCUAUCCUUUCACCUUAAUUUCAUGCUUUUGUCAAUUCUGUAAUUUAUUUAAGUUUAAUUUACUUCUCAUCAAAACCAAACCCCCCCCCCCCAUUAUUAAAUUAUAUUAUUUAGUUAGUUUUCAUUGUUGUUAGUCUUUUAAUUCAAUUUCCGUCCAUUUCAGUUCCUAGUGUCUAAUUUGAUUGUUUUCAUUAUUUUGAGUCAUUCUAAGUGUGUUUCGAGUUAUUAGAGUUUUUAGCCUAGUUUUGUGUCCUUGAGUCUUGUUUAAUAAUUCUAAAUUAAUUUAGAAUAGAUUAGCAAUCCCUCAUAAUCCCCGGCCUAGAACGAUACCCUACUUACAUACUUUACUACAAUUGAUAAAAAGAGGGUUUAAUUUGUGUGCUUAUAUAUUACGCAUCAAAUUUUGGCGCCGUUGCCGGGGAUUAGCAACUUUGCUAAUCCCUUUAUUUUUGUUUUUGUUUAUGUUUAUAUUGGUGUUUGUGUAUUUUACUUUUGAUAUUUGAUUUAUUUUUCUUUCUUUGAUUUUAGGUACAAAUGGAGCAAGACAUGGCACUUGCGACCAUUCAAGCUCAAUUGGCACAGCUCACUGCUCAAUUGACUCAUAAUGCCGAACGGACCACAAUGCCAAGUGUCCCUACACUUGAUGUGCCCUAUGGGCAAGGAUAUCAAAGUCCUCAAUUUUCUGCAAAUGAAGAUGUUUGGGGAUAUCAAGGCCAUAACCAAUCAAGGGGCAACAUGUUUUUCCAACGCUUGCAAUUCAGAUUGGAGAGGUAAUUCAGAUUAUAUGUGGGAUGAACCUCAACAAUUUCAACAAGGUGGAUAUUGGCAGCAAGACGAGUUCUAUUCAAGACCUAUGCAGCCACCACAUCAUCCCCCACAACAAUUCCAAUCAAAUCAAAGUAUGCCCCGUGAAUUAUAAUGAAAUUCUUGAAGGACUAAUUUCUUUGACGCGCAGGGUUCACAAAAAGAAGAACAAUUGCCGCCAUCAGAAGAGUUCUAUCAGUGGCCAUAUGAACCGUCACAGCCACCACAACAAUCAACCCAAUUCAAUUCAGGUACGUCCUUGGAUAAUGAUACACUUAAUAAGUUACUCACCUCUUUGAAUCAGGGAGUAGAAAAUCAAAACCAGGAGAUGCAAGACUGAGUCAAAAGAGUGGACGAAUUGGAUAUGCAAGUUGGGCAGAUUGUGGAAUUCAUGGCACAGAUUCGAGAUCAAAGUGAACUUUCCAACUCAAACAUUGCAAAUUCAAAGGCAGAAAGUGAAAUCGAUGAAAGCCAUCACUUUGGAAGGUGACAUGAAGGAUGAAGCUGUCCCAGAACCAUCCAAACACAGCCCGAACAUGGAUGAAUUGCUGCUGCAAGCAGAAAAGGAGGAGGACGACCUGGGCAGUUUAGAAGAAUUCUUGCUGCAAGCUCCUCAAAUCCCUAUGUCAUCCAACUCAGGUGAGGAAGUUCUAAAUUCACUUCAUUCUAACAUUAUUCCACCGAAUGUCCUUUGUCCUUGCAGGUUUUUUGAUUCCAAAUAUCAAAGAGAGUGAAAAAGACAUUGUGGAAGCUCUUCCAAAGGUGCAAAGUGAUAUCCCAAUUCUUUGGUGCACCAAAAACAAGUUCCCGAUGGUAUUGAAACGUUCAAAGAACCUUGCACACCAAGAAAAGGGAUUCAAGAAAAUGAAGUGGUUGAAGCAUAUCAAGAAUACAUCCAAGAGGCUAUGCAUGAGACAAUCAAGCCCAAAGCAGUUGAGUUUGAUAACACGGGACAAGCCACAACCAUCAUAGUAAACCUGGCCAAGUUCAAAGUCCCGGAAAUGUUCAAAGAUGUGGUGUUUGUCAUUGACUUUGUGUCGGAAAAAGAAAGUAAGCCAUCUUCUCCAAUUUUAAUUUUACUUUAUACUAACAUGUUUCUGAUUUUGAUGAUUCAUGCACCCACUCUUAAAUUUAAACCAUUGCCGAAUCAUUUCAAGUAUCACCUCCCAUUAAAAGAUAAAUUCCAUGCUUUGGAGCCGAGGGGAGUUUAAAGGAAAGAUUCGUCCGGCUAAAGACGUUAAAUCAAGCUCUUCUUGGGAGGUAACCCAAGCCUUCAACGAAGGGAGACUUUGGAAUCGCUAACCAAAUCAGAUUUGCAUUCUUACACCCUUAUCUUUACUGCUUUCAUUUUGUUUUAUUUAGCUAGUUGUGUUAUUUGGUUGAUUUUUGUGAGUUUGUGUUAUUUAGUUUAAGUGUGGGGGAAGGUUAAACAAAGUCUUUUUACAUUAAUUUACAUAUUUAAAAAAAAAAAAAAAAAAAAAAAACAUAAAAGUAAAAAUAUUUUACAAUGAUGUGUAAGCUAAUAGCAUUCAUUGGUCAGGUGGUGCUUCAGUAGUCGGCGGAGCUUCAGCAGUCGGCGGGGCCACGGAAGGAGGAGGUAUCGGAGGUUGAUUAGUUGGAGCUUCACUACGCGGUGCCGCCCCAGAAGACGAAGGCAGAUGCGGUUGGAACAAACCCACAAACCUCCGGUGAUCAAGUAAAAUCUGACCAUCAUUUUCCUGCAGCUGGUCAAUUUUCCUCUUCAUGUUUGUGGCAUAAUUGUGUGCAAGCUUGUGCAAUUGUUUAUUUUCAUGCUUGAGUCCUCUAAUCUCCUCUUUGAGACUCUGUAUUUCAGCCACCAACGAUUCAACGUGACGGGUUCGAGCAAAUAGGCGUUGGGCCAUGUUGGACACAGAACCCGCACACUGCACGCUAAGAGCCAGAGACUCCUUAACCGCCAAUUCAUCAGACCGUCUAGCGAGCAGUCUGUUAUCUCUGGGGGGUGACAAGGUUCCGGGCCACCACCGCAGCGGUCAUGUCAUUUUUUCAUCACCGAAUCCCCAAACGGUAAGAGGACCAGUAGGGGAUAUGAAAGAUGGGCGCCAUAUGUUGUCUGGUGAAGACGGAGCUGCCUCUUCACCAAUGUUCAAGUCAAAACGACAAUCGGAAGGGCCAGACAUUUUUCAGAAUGGUAAAGAAAAAAGAGAUCGGACAGAUUAAGAUUUUGGAAGUGUGCAAGAAGUGAGUUUACAGGAGCUCAGGGAGGGACUCAAGUGUGUUGUGGAACAAAAAUUAACGCCUCUAUAAAAAGAAGAAAUCAAAAAGGCGCUCCUCAGAAAUCGAAGAAGCGUCCUCUCGCAAAUCGAAGAGUCGGGGCUCCUUUCUCAAAAGCUGGAUUCUUUUCUCAAAAGAGGCGUUGCAUUUCUCAAAAGCUGGGCUUGCUCAGAAACCACGAGCCGAACCCCGGAUUUCAAAAGAUCAAUUUGUCCAGACGUGUCGUCACUCGUCACAUGCAACUGGCAGCUUUGCGGAAAUUACGGGCAGCUUUGUCAGAAAGCGCGUAAUUUGUACUAUUCAUCCAUCCACCGGCUACCGACAAUGAGUGAGGGAAUAGUUCCGGUUGUGAAGAAAAGUCCUAUAAGUAUCUACCUUCGCCUUCCACAGCAAAGGCACACCCUCUCAGCACUUCUUCAUCUCCGAGAAUGUAUUUCCAACACACCUUCUCGAGUCACUCAGUGUUCCUUAUUCCUUGGGGUACCUCUGCAAACAACCCAUCCAAAGCAAAAGUAUUUCAUAUCAUGAAGGUUGAAAGCAAGAGUAUCUCAUAUCAUGCUUUCUCCCUGUCCUUUCUCUAGCCAGCUCUUGCUCUCGAGUACUCAUCAUCUUAUGCCUUCGCUUUGUUUCUCACUUAUAAGGGAAGUGAAGAUGAUACCUCGAAGCAUGUGGAGACAACGUGCUGAUUCAUCCUCAACUAAGGACAAGGAGAAAGAGAGCAAGAGGUGGGCACUUGGAAAGAUUGAAGAAAGAAACAGACCAACACCUUUACCUCGUGCCUGCCCGUCGUGCAGAAGAAACAAGCAGAGAAGAAUGCAGCUUGCAUAAUCAUCCCAGCGGAAGGAGUCUGAGAUGAAGAACUAGAGAAGCUGCCACAUCUGCUUGGAGAACAAAUAAGGAAUUGCAACAUUGCUAAAGAGCAAAGCCUCGCCGUACAAUAUCAUCAAAUCAUCACUUGCAAGUAAAAAGCUAAGUGUCACCCCGUUCAAGAGGAAAACUGUGGAAAGUCAACAAGCACGACCAAUGAUCACUUAUUAGUUAUAUUCAUUGUCUUUUAUCGUGAUUUUCAAUUUUACAUUUUCUUGCGUUACUUAACUGAAUUAUUUCUUUUCUUUGCAGGAACUUUUGGUUCUUUCCACCCUUGAAGUUGAUUGCAGAAUUUUAGCUUGGGGGGUCAUCGCUUGAUUUUACUGCAAACUAGGGAAGUUUUCAGUCUAAUUGCUUUAUUCAUUUGUUUCCGUGUUGUUGCUUUUUGUUUUCUUAAUUAGUUUUGUUUUGUUUUUGUUUUUAUUUGCAUUAUAGUGUUUUCUGACAUUGGGGACAAUGUCCAGUUUAAGUUUGGGGGUAAAGAGUAUAAAAAAUGACCAAAUUGAAAUUUUUUGUACCUUCAACUACGAACGGGUUUCAUUUGUUUCAGUGUUGUUGCUUUUUGUUUUCUUAAUUAGUUUUGUUUUGUAAUUUAAAAAAAAAUGAAAAAUUCGGAAAAUUUAAAAAUCCAAAAAUAUUGUCUUGUUUUCCUUAUUGUAUUUUUGUUAGUUUCCCGACCCAAUGAUAUAAUUGGAUCAAAUUUGAACCAUGAUCAUCAAGAACUUAGUUAACAUGUGUUUUGUGAAAUUCCUAAUUCUCUUGUUAGUUUUGUACAUGUUUGAUCAUCUUUGAAAAAAUAAAUGUGCCUAGUCUUGUCAAUGUGAAACUUGAGCAUGAUUUAGCUUUUCAUAUGUGAAUCAUGUGAGAUUAUGUAAACCUUGUGAGUUUUUGAGCCUAUACAUGAUUGAAUCAUUAUGCAUCAAUCUCAUUCCUUCUUGUGCGUAUGAUCUCACUGUACAUGUAUCUCUAGAACUUGCUUUAUACUACUCGAUUCAUUAAUCAAUUCAUGUAAUAACUUGGAAGUGAUAUAGGCCAUCUUUGGAUCGUUUGAGCCUUUCAUGCCUACCUUAUAUGCUAUGUUUACCCGUAGUAGCCCAUUGAGCCUUUAACUAAGCCAUUUCUUUGUUAGCCACAUCUCUUUACCUUGCUCCAAUAUUGGAGUUGAGCCCAUACAUAAAAAUCGAUUCCUUAUUGUUUUGAGAAAGUAUUACAUGGGUUGUGCUUUUGGGGGUUUCAUUUAUGUAGAAAGAUGGAUGGAGCAUGUGUAUUACAAUAAAAUGUGAAUUUGAUGGGUGAUGUAGCUUUUGCAGAUUUGUUUCUUUCAUAUAAAAAAAAAAAAAACGAAAUAUAUGAAAAUUGGAGAGUGUUGAUUUGUUGAAAAUAUGUCUGCAAAGUAUAAAUUUCCUUUUUGAAGUUAAAUUUGGGGUGUGACAGGUGCUCGAAGUUUAUUAUUUUGCUUUCAAUUUGAGGUGGUGUGAUAUUGAGGUGUUGGAAAACUACUAAAGUGUACUUUCUCAAAAUUUUUUGAUUUCCAUAUCCUUUCUUUCAUUAGCCUAUCACCUUUAGCCCCAUUACAACCGUAAUAAAGCCCUAUUGAUCCAAGGUAUUACUAAAAUAUUGAUAAGCGAGUUAGGUGGACAAGCAAGCAUAUGGCGGCAUGUACAAUGAGAUCACUUGAGUGAAACACAUUAACCAAAACUUAUGAGUGAAUGAGCGUAUGUCUUGUGAGAAACUCACAUGUUUGCAUAUGAUGAUUUAAAGGAGCUUGGAAUUGCAUUGACAUGGCUAGCUCACACAUGGCUUUUCAACAUUUUGUUUGAAGGAAAUUUGGUUAACUAUUGGAUGAUGUUUUGAGCUCUUGCUUACUUCUUGGCAGUGUAUUUCAUGAGUAGCACUUAUCUCUGAAAUCGAAUUUGAGAAGUUGGCUAUUAAGUUGUUGAAUCUAGUCUUAGUUGAGUGGUUUUGUUUUGUGUUUUAUUUUGCUAGAGGACUAGCAAAAAUAUAAGUUUGGGGGUAUUUGAUCACUCAUAUAUUUCAUGCAUUUAUACCAUCCAUUUCUAAAGUCUUUGUGAUGUUUUUGUGUUAAAAUUGUGGCAUUUUACCUGACCUUGUGUUAAUAUACAGUUAAUUUUGUGUUAGCUUUGUUUUCAUAGAAAAUGGGCUGAAAAGAAAAGGAAAAGAAGAAUAAUAAGCAAGGAAGUGGAGUGCACUGCACAUCUGGGGGAGAGACACGGACAGCAGGCGCAGUGAUGGAGAAGAAUUAAAAAGGAAAUAAUACACGGAAUGGUGGAAGGAAUAAGAAAAUAAAGAAAAGGGAGAAGCACAGAAAAACUGUGCGGAGGAAAGAGAAUAAUAGGGUGAUAGGUGCAGCCAAGAAUAGAAGAGAAGCAGAGAGACUGACACGGCAGAGAAGCAGAGAGACUGACGACAGAGGCGCAGAAAAUAAGGAAGGAGCAGCGCAGAAAGGAGGAAGGCGCGGAAGGACAGAGAGGAUAUAGACUCGAACAGAGAGAAGGCGCGGACAGACAGAAGCAGCAAGCUGCCUUCUCUCUCGGUUAAAUCUUUCCAAACUUAUAUUUUAUUUCUGUUUUAAUAAUGUGUAACUAAAUUUAUUUUGCCUACAGGUUAAUUCAAAGCCAUGAAUAUAUUUGUAAUAUGAAUUGAUUACCUUCAGUUGUGAUUUCUGAGUUGUGAUUUAAUUUGCUUAACUGCUUGAUUGAUAGCUUAUUUUUGUAUGUCGAUUAAGAAUGCAUACUUAAUUUACAUGCAUGAAUUUGAUGCUAGAAUAUAAGGGAGUUUCACCUAAUCGUUAUGAACUUAUAUUCACAAGUAGUGAAG
rnacentral:lncRNA from 1 species